CCUGACUAGAAAAACACCAGCAUGGCAAGGUCAUGGCAGCACAGAGAUUCCCCCUUUCACUACCAUUAGUGAAAGAGACAAGAAGGUGUUGGGGUCCUCCUACGUCUGACCUGCUAGGCUGUGCUAAGGAGCCUGUCACAUCCCUGAAACAUGCCCAGCCAGUCAGGGGACUCAGGACGGGCCCGCAGCUGCGGCUGCUCAGUGUGGCCAAGGGCAGGUGAGUUCACAGACAGAGACGUGGGGAAAGAGCGUGUAGUCACAUUGAGCCCUGUGUGACCCAGGGCCUGACACUUGUCUGAGCCUCUGUUUGCACACCUGUAAGGUGGGAGUGCAUACCCUCUGCCCUGCAUACUGCAGAGUCAGCCCUGAGGAUGCGAGCUGGCAGUGUGCAAAAGGCUUUGUAAGCCAAGUGUGGCAUAAAGUCUAGUUUGCAUUGUUGUAGCCUAGUCUGGGCCCCAAAAGGGAUGGAGCAACACCCCUGGAACAGGACUAAAGGGGCAUUUUUGCUUCCAGCCCCCCUGUGUCUUCUCAGGCCCUCAUGGCAGCCCCAGAGAAAGGAACAGGCUCAGCCAUCUUAUUUGAGCUGCUUGUGGGGCUGUCCCCAAGGAUGGGGUAUUUUUUUUUGGAGUGGUGGGGGGAGGGUAGUCACCUGGAGUGGACUCCAGGGUCCCCAACUCCUGAGGCCCUGAGGGUCAGGGGAUACUUCCAGGUUCUAUUUGGCUCUGGCUUGGGGGUUUGUAUAUCCACACUUUAGCUAUCUCAUGUCUCCCAGACAACUUCCAGAGGCACCCCCUCCAGCCAUACCCUCCCUCCCAUUAGCCCCUCAGCUACACCGACCCUGGCAGGCAUGUUGGGAGGAAUGUGGUCGUGUCUGGGGCUGCCUGACAUGUCCCAUCCUCCCAGACAGGCCCCAACAACCCCCGCUGGAGGCUCCAACGCUCUUCCUAGAAUCAAUUGCUCCCAGAGGGGAAGGGAAGCCUCCCUCUCCCCCAACCCUGACUGCCUCCAAAGCAGAAGCCCAGAGCCACCACCCUGCACUGGGGCUUAGGAGCUCAGAAAUGCUGAGACAGACGCUUGAGGCUCCCCGAAUCUGCCCCGCAAAGAUCUCUGGAGGAUGGAAUCCAAAAGAUCAAGAAAGUAGGGAACCAAGGACAUAUAGACUCCUGCACACAAUUUACAAAGAGACCUUUGCCAGCCCUCCCUACCCGAUGGACACCAUGGAAGCACCACACGAAAUACAAGUCUGUUCUCCCUGACCUGGCUCAGAUCCUGAGGCCAACCCCCUCCUUCCAGCAGACGUGGAACUAGGCACACAUCGCCCAGCCUAGUGCUCAUGACAUUUUGAGGACAGGCAGCUUUCUGGGGCAGCAGCAGUUAGUGGGAUGGGAUGAGUCUUUUGGGUUCUGGAGUACCCCCUACCUCUGGACUCCUAGGCAGGCUUUGUGUGGGCGCCACUGCCUGACCUAGCUCCAGCCGCCCCAGGCGCGUGGAGUACAGGAGGAGCCUGGAGCGGUGCCUCUUGCGGUUGGCAAAUCUCCCUGCUCCAGUCUUUGGGGCGACCAAUGCCAUUCCAAACAGGUGAAGCGGCAGGGCCAGGCAUCCCCCGCCACAGAGCCCUCAUUGUGUGCUGAGGACAGGCAGGGCACCCGGAGAUGGGAUUUUAAGGAAGGAGGGAACCUCAGAGUAGCCCAGUGUGAGAAGGGAAGCCCAGCACCUGCCUUCAGAGCCCAGUCUAAAGGAAGAGACUGUCCCUGCCCCGCCAAGCCCGCACCCUGAGAACAAAGGGAAGAUUCCCCUCAAAAUGAAGAUACGAACAAACGAAAGUGCCAUCCACGUGUAUUAACUUCCUGGGACUGCUGUAACAAACAACUACAAACUUGGUGGUUUAAAACAACAGAAAUGUAUUUUCUCACAGUUCUGGAGGCCAGAAGUCCAAAAUCAAGGUGUUAGCAGGGCUACAACUCCCUUUGAAGGCUUGAGGGGAGAACCCUUCUUUGCUUUUUCCGGCUUCUGGUGGCUCCUCGUGUUUGCCGGUUUGGGGCAGCAGAGCUUCGAUCUCUGCCACCGUCUGCACUUAGCCUUCACGUCUGUGUGACUCUGUUUCCUGUCUCUUAAAAGGAUACUCACUGGAUUUAGUGCUCACUCUAAUCCAGUACAAUCUCAUCUCAAUUCUUACCAUAAUUAUAUCUACAAACACCCUAUUUCCAAAUAAGUCACAUUCUGAAGUUCCAGGUGGACAUGAAUUUGGAGGGAGACACUGUUUGACCCGCUACACUGUAACAGACCAGGAGCAUAUGGGGUUGCUGAGGCAGUGGUGAAAACUUGCUGGAGAAAUUAAUGAUAAGUAAAUUUAAAAAAUUAAAAAAAUAUAAAAACUUGCUGGAGAGACAGCUGUGGUAAGAUGUGGCCGGAGCCAAUCUGGGUGUAGCUUUUAGCUCAACUUUAAGUAUUCUGGAGAGUGGGCAGCUGGGAGGCAUGAAAUUUGUGGGGUUCCCGUCCACACUGCCCCCCACCCAAUUUCUCUGGCUCCUUCACACAUAGACACCUGCUCUAGAAGAGAGCUCUCUUUUUCUUUUUUAAUCAUUAUUUUGAAAUUAUUUUAGACUUUCCAAAAACGUUGCAAAAAUAUUGCAAGGUUCACAUGCACCCUUCACCCAGCUUCCCCAACAUGAUCAUACCACAGAAACAUCGUGCAAUUAUCAAAAUUAAUAAAUUAACAUGGACCCCAUACUAUUAAUUAACUAUAGACUUCAUUCAGAUUCUACCAGCUCUUCCACUGAUGUCCUUUUCUGCGGCAGGAUCCAAACCAGGAUUCCACAUUCCGUCAGUUGUCUCGUCUGCUCGGUCUCCUCCCUCUUUCCUUGCUGUUCAUGACAUUUCUGUAGAGUACUGGUCAGGUGUUUUGUAGAAUAUGCCUCAGUUUGGGCUUUCCUGAUAUUUUCUCAUCAUCAGAUAGGUUAUAUAUUUUGGCAAGAAACCCACAGAAAUGAUGUUAUGUCCUUCUCCGGGUAUCAUCUCAGGUAUACAAGACGUAUGUCGAUGGGUCUUAGUGCUGGUGAUGUUAACUUUGUCCAUUGGCUAAGGUGGUGGUUGCUGGGUUUCUCCACUGUAAUGUUACUAUUUUUCCCAUUAAAGUUAAUUAGUACCUUGA